UGUGUUUUAGGUGCCCAGGGGGUCACAGACGGCCGGGGGACGGGAGGAGCUCAGGUCGGGGGCAGGCAUCGCGUUUGCGGGGAUGGAUCCUUAACCCAGAGAGGAAGGUGGUUGCUCUGACCUCAGACACUCUUGGAGAAAAAGUGGGCAGAAGCCUCGCAGGUGGGGUCCUGGGAGAGGCUGGGGCCAGCCAGUAGGCCUUGAGAAGUGGCUAUGGUUACAGCGUGGCGGUCAUCGGUGGGGAGCAGGCUGUGGGCUGGGGUGUGGGACAGUGGAGACACAGGUCUUGAGGCGUUAGCAGCAAAGAACGGCUGAAAAGUGC
rnacentral:lncRNA from 1 species